UACGAAGGGGGCUAGCGUUGCUCGGAAUUACUGGGCGUAAAGGGUGCGUAGGCGGGUCUUUAAGUCAGAGGUGAAAUCCUGGAGCUCAACUCCAGAACUGCCUUUGAUACUGAGGAUCUUGAGUUCGGGAGAGGUGAGUGGAACUGCGAGUGUAGAGGUGAAAUUCGUAGAUAUUCGCAAGAACACCAGUGGCGAAGGCGGCUCACUGGCCCGAUACUGACGCUGAAGCACGAAAGCGUGGGGAGCAAACAGG
rnacentral:rRNA from 1 species